rnacentral:tRNA from 1 species
AAAUAUAUAGUAUAUUAAUUACAUUUAACUUCCAAUUAAAAAAUUUAAUUCUAAAUUAAUAUAUUUA